GCAGGGAGAACCAGAUGAUUUGGAGGGGAGCCUCUGCCUGAGUACCUCUGCAUUGUUAUGGAAGUGCGUCAGGCAGCUUGAAAGAAGAGAUGGAGUCUUAUUCAUCCAGCAUUCUUGUCUUGUCCACCCUCACCCACCAAGGGUGGAACCCAAGCCUGAGGAAAGGGAGCCAUGGAAAGGCUAGGGGAUUCAAGGCACCUUUGAGGGCUGGGGCCCUCUCUGGAGCCAGAUGCUUGACUCCCUGGCCCAGAGGUUUCCAGAUCAGAAGUGGAGGGUUCCCACCAAGGUCUCCAUUAGGGCCCUGACCCCACCCUGGCAUCUGCCCCUUUCUUCUGCCCAGGCUAACUGAAGUUUCAAGGUCAAGGGAUCCUGGGAGAGGUGGAACAGGGCAGGGGAUUUGCAUCCACACAAGCCUAGACUGGUGAGGCAAGAGAAGCAAGCCAAGUCAUCUGUGGUUAGAAAGACUCUUAGACCUGAAGUGCAUGGGCUGCCUCGGCCCCUUUCUUUGCUUAUUUUAG